rnacentral:rRNA from 1 species
GUAGGGAGCGAGCGUUGUCCGGAAUUACUGGGUGUAAAGGGUGCGUAGGCGGCUCUGGUAAGUUAGUGGUGAAAACUAUGGGCUUAACCCAUAGCCUGCCAUUAAAACUGCUGGGCUUGAGUGAAGUAGAGGUAGGCGGAAUUCCCGGUGUAGCGGUGAAAUGCGUAGAGAUCGGGAGGAACACCAGUGGCGAAGGCGGCCUACUGGGCUUUAACUGACGCUGAGGCACGAAAGUAUGGGUAGCAAACAGGAUUAGAUACCCUGGUAGUCCAUACCGUAAACGAUGAUUACUAGGUGUGGGGGGUCUAACCCCCUCCGUGCCGGAGUAAACACAAUAAGUAAUCCACCUGGGGAGUACGACCGCAAGGUUG